rnacentral:rRNA from 1 species
AUGACGGCGCCUGAGACUCUGACCGUGGAGGGAGAGAACACCACUCGACACACAGUGACCUUCGCGAAUCCACUGUCGAGUGCUCAGCAGCCUUCCCUCUUCACGACUCACCACGUCCCAGAGGACCAAGCUGGUGCAGCGAAGGAGGCAAUACGCCAGGCGGGGCUCAUGAUGGAGCAGCUGAAGACCAUCCGGGAUGCGAGCCAGGCAGCUUAUGACGCCAGCUCUGCCCUCCAAAGCAAUGUCCAGGUCAGUCGACUGCUGUUUGUUCUGUUGGAUAUGCUACCAAAAACUUUUCUUUUCCGGGAUUUGUAUUAG